rnacentral:rRNA from 1 species
UAACGAGCGCAGCCCUCAUCAUUAGUUACCAUCAGGUAAGGCUGGGGACUCUAAUGAGACUGCCAUCGUAAGAUGUGAGGAAGUGGGGAUGACGUCAAAUCAGCACGGCCCUUACUCCGGGGCGACACACGUGUUACAAUGGGUGGUACAAAGGGCAGCUACCUGGCGACAGGAUGCUAAUCUCCAAAACCACUCUCAGUUCGGAUCGGAGUCUGCAACUCGACUCCGUGAAGCUGGAUUCGCUAGUAAUCGCGCAUCAGCCACGGCGCGGUGAAUACGUUCCCGGGCCUU